GAGUAUAAACACUGAGGAACAUGCAACAUUUGCAGGAAGAUGCGUGUUCUAAGAGGUAUGAUGAUGAGACAUACUCACAGUGGGCACACAGGACCGCAAUGGAAAUUAAAAACACCACACACAGCACACCGAGACACCCCGUAGCCAGUCUGUACGGGUGAGAGCUGGGUGCACCUCCAGCAGAGGGCAUGGACACUGAAGAACAUAAAUAAUGAGACCAAAACAUAUCGAUUCACACAGGAAUUACAUUCACGUACAUUCAUCCAGUCAGAGGUUAUUUUGUUAUUUACAGGCCAAUUUUGCUGUAAGAAGCUCUGACAAAGUCACCAUUGAGUUUCCCAGUUUCUGAGCUGUGGUUAUUAGCCAAGAAGACGGUUCGCCAGGAACUCUAGGUCAUUUCAAUAGAAGUUGAUGCGCCUAAUCCUUCCCGGAGCAAUUCCAUUAACCGAGCUGUUCAACACAGGACCCAUGCAGGGGGCGAGUAUCUGUAUUUCUCACUUGUGCCUGUGCAAUGGAGAACUGAAGCUGAGCAUUUUGAGCACUGUGAAAAUCCUCGUUGUCCUUCUCCGACAAGGACUGGCAUGUACAUUACUCUAGUCUCUCUUGUCUCUAGCCUAGUCUGUCGCCUUCUGGAAACUGUGAUUAUAAAACUAAAGGGGUACAUACACUCUCUAAUGCAUGCAUGGUUUACAUGUGGGACACUAAUGGAAAACACAUAGGAAAGUUAGCACAAUGUUUAUAAGAAAAUCACACAAGAGAUGAGUUCCAUGCUUAUGCUCAUGGGGGUCUUUGUUCUUCGGCAGCUAUUCAAAUUUGACUCGAAGGUCAGCCAAUCAGGUACAGCCUCCUUCGGCAGUUGGCCAAUCACCACAGUAACAACUCUAAGCCCCUGGGAAGGAAGUCUUUACAGUUCUAAAAAAAAAAAGCUGAUCAUAAUAGGAGGAGACAUACACAUUGUGCAAGCAGCUUAACAAUCUUUAUAAUUAGUUCCAGCAUUAUAAGCAAUAAGCAGUAAUGCCACUGUUAAUAAGAGAAGCUGGAGCACUGCAUUUCCCAUACAACUUCUCUUCUUUGAGUAAUGUCACUGCCAUCUUACAUAAAAAGAACAAAGUAAGCUUUAGCUUGAAAAGAUUGUCUGAUGGGCAGUCACUUUUAAUUACAAAUGAUUAUAUGUAUUUUGAAGACUGAAUUGCUUAAUCCAUCCAUUUAGGUACAUUGUGUUUCAAUUCGUAUGCAUGUGCACUGUUUCCUAUUUCAACUAAAAAGUCCAUGAAUUUUCAUAUGCAAUCAUUAAAAUGCACUCCAUCUGGGCUGUUUUAAAACUGAGCAUAUGAUUAACCUUGGGUGUUUUAAUAAUCAAAACAUUUUCAGGCCAAGGGUAAAGCUCUUAUGUGUACAUCUGAUUUCAACUCUUGGUCUAAUUAACAUGAAUUGUAUGGUGGAACUUACAUUAUCCUAAAGGCCAGGGAUCGUUUUUUAUUGCAUAGGGGUUUUCAUAAAACAAAAGGAUAAUUGGAACAGGCAAAAACAAGGAAUUCUCACAUGCAUAACCUGUAGUGUUCACUUGUCUAGAUUCAAGAUAUUGAAGGCAUGUCAUAUGUACUGUGGUGGUCUAUAGUAUGUGGCGCUUAUUACAUUACUCACCAUACUGACUUCUGCUGUGGCGAUUUGAUUAGAAUGCCGCACAGCUGGGAGCUAAAAUAUGACCAGCAGCAUAUCCAUCCAUUCAUCCAUUAUCUGUACUCGCUUAUCCUGGGCAGGGUCUCACGGGGUGCUGGAGCCUAUCCCAGCAUGCAUUGGGCGAGAGGCAGGAAUACACCCUGGACAGGCCGCCAAUCCAUCGCAGCACAAAAAGACAAAAUCAACAUUCACAGUGAACUGACUUACACUCAUCGUUGUCAGAUGGGAUGGUGCCAGGAUUUCUUUUGUGCAGAUUGCGUAAACUUGCAGCAUGCCAACUGGACAAACAAACCGUCGCAUGUGUUUGUGGUUCAUGGUCGCAUCAGCGAUCUUUGGACCAACUUUGGAACAGCAGGCAGAUUAUUGCCUGGUAGAACAUUUGAAUCCUUCUAGAAUGAAAAUCAGAUGUGGAUUUGGAGCGAAGUCCGGAGCCAGACGCAAGCUUAGAAUCAAGAGCCAGAAUCACGAGAAGAGGUGGACCAGGAGAACAGCCCUCAUAAUUUAGAAACAGGAAGGAAUGCUGCCACAGGUGACUUUCCAUCAAAGGCGAUCUCAUUUUUAGCUCGCACCACCCGUCUUGCAAUUUCUGCCGUUCGUCCAAAUCAGACUGAAGCGUGGCGUGAGAGAGGUAAUGAAGAAAUACAAGAGUGGAUGUGGAGCAAGAACACUUAAAUCUGCUCUCUUCUGGUGGAGCAAACAACAUAAAUAUCCCCUGAAUUUCAGGGCCUGGUGAAUGAGUACGCUGACACAGUCUUGCUAGGGUACGAUUCUGCAAUUUCAUUUAAGGGAUGCAACAUGAUUAUGGAUGUUAUACGCGGUACCGAUACAAUUGUAUUUUAUUGUGCCCGCACAGUUUUUGUUCCAGGGGUUUAAUGGAAGUCAGUUUAAUUAGGAACAGCAUGGCUGAGCUGGAGCCAUUGCAACAUUUUUGCGCUCUGGUGGACUUUAUGUAGCGCCUCACCAUGUGAGAUAUAGAAAUAGAGGGGGCAAGGAAGUAAAAUCAAAUAUAUUUGGAAGUAUCUUUUUUCCUUACUAUUGUCUUAAUAGUACUAAUUUUUCAUCGACACAGUUUUGACAUAGAAUGUCCUUUGAGUCAAAUAUUUUGCUUGAAUAGAAUAUUCCCUUUGAAGUUCAUUGAAAGUAUCUGGGUUUUAUACUGACUUGCCUUAACAAUGACAUCAAAAAUACCACACAAACUGACAUUAAGAAACUUUUAUUCACUGUUGCUGUUAUUGCUGUUUAAGUGAAAAAGAAAAUCUCUAACUAUUUGCAGGCAUUAGAGUCCCUCCAAACGUUUUAACAGACUUGUGCAGAUGUUUUGAUGUGAAAUCAAUAUGUUUAUUCUUGCUUUGACCAACUGGAUUAAAAAAAACAUAACAGAGUGAAUAAAUUAAGUGCAGAGGUCAUUUUGGUUUCUUCAUCUCCUGAUGGUACAGCAAUCAGGAUCCAUAUUGACUUGGCUAGCCAAAAAGAUGGAGCAAUAACUGGAAAAGUAGGACUUAAAUAUGGACUUUUUCAACUGUUUGUUUUUCAUUAAAAGCCCAGAUUAUGAGUUUGUACAACUAAUUUUAUUAUUCAAAAUGACUCAGCGGCCAAGGUCUCUGAGAUAAACUUCCAGUUCAUUGCACAUCAUGUGCUCUCCUGGGUUUGUUGGUUCAUUUAUUGGCUUGGUAAGCAGAUUUGUUGAGUCAAAAAUGGGUAUACUUCUGGGAUAAAGUUCAUGUUGAUCAACAUUUUGAUCUUUCCCCUGUUUAAUUUCUGUUCUUCCUCUUCUUGUCUCUAACUCCCUCUUCUUCGAAAUUAUCCACCCACUCUCAGGCUCCAUCCAAUCAAAAUGCAGGAAAGCCUUGUGACUGUGACACAUCACUCUGUUUCCUCACAGAUGUUCACAGAGCAGAAACACACCCUUCAGAAUAAUGGAAGUGUUACCAGUUAUUCUGUGCUGGAGAAUAACGCAUAGCGCAUUCUUAACAAGUAAUGACAUGCUCAUUUAGUUGCCAAAUGGCUGAAUAAUCCAUUAACACUAAAAGACCGAAAGUCUGUCAUCUAAUUUAAUAUUCUCUUAAUGGUUUUGCUAGGCAUUUUUUAAUUGUUUUGUGUUAAUCUCCAUCCUCCAUUCUGUGUUGCAGACUGUAAUGGUGAGAAAAUAAAGUCAAUGUCAAA